rnacentral:rRNA from 1 species
AGUGGCAGACGGGUGAGUAAUACGUAGGUAACGUGCCCUUAAGACCGGGAUAACUCACGGAAACGUGGGCUAAUACCGGAUAGGCGAUUUCCUCGCAUGAGGGAAUCGGGAAAGGCGGAGCAAUCUGCCACUUAUGGAUGGACCUACGGCGCAUUAGCUAGUUGGUGGGGUAACGGCUCACCAAGGCGACGAUGCGUAGCCGACCUGAGAGGGUGAUCGGCCACACUGGGACUGAGACACGGCCCAGACUCCUACGGGAGGCAGCAGUAGGGAAUCUUCCGCAAUGGACGCAAGUCUGACAGAGCAACGCCGCGUGAGUGAUGAAGGUUUUCGGAUCGUAAAGCUCUGUUGCCAGGGAAGAACGCUAUGGAGAGUAACUGUUCCAUAUGUGACGGUACCUGAGAAGAAAGCCCCGGCUAACUACGUGCCAGCAGCCGCGGUAAUACGUAGGGGGCAAGCGUUGUCCGGAAUUAUUGGGCGUAAAGCGCGCGCAGGCGGUCAUGUAAGUCUGGUGUUUAAACCCGGGGCUCAACUCCGGGUCGCAUCGGAAACUGUGUGACUUGAGUGCAGAAGAGGAAAGUGGAAUUCCACGUGUAGCGGUGAAAUGCGUAGAGAUGUGGAGGAACACCAGUGGCGAAGGCGACUUUCUGGGCUGUACUGACGCUGAGGCGCGAAACGUGGGGAGCAACAGGAUUAAAUACCCUGGUAGUCCCGCCGUAACGAUAAAGCUAGUGUUAGGGGUUUCUAUACCUUGGUGCCCAAUUACCCAUUAAUCACUCCCCUGGGGAGUACGUCGCAGACUGAACUCAAAGAUUGACGGGGACCGCGCAGCUGUGGAUAUGUGGUUUAUUCAAGCACGCCAGAACUUACAGGUCUGACUCCUCUGACCUCCAGAGAUAGGCUUCCCUCCCGCAGAGUGACAGUGUUCAUGGUGUC